GGACUACACGGGUUUCUAAUCCUGUUUGCUCCCCACGCUUUCGUGUCUCAGUGUCAGUAUCUAUCCAGAUAGUCGCCUUCGCCACUGGUGUUCCUUCCAAUAUCUACGCAUUUCACCGCUACACUGGAAAUUCCACUAUCCUCUACAGUACUCUAGCUAGACAGUCUUAAACGCAGUUCCCAGGUUAAGCCCGGGGAUUUCACAUCUAACUUAUCUAACCACCUACACACGCUUUACGCCCAGUCAUUCCGAUUAACGCUUGCACCCUCUGUAUUACCGCGGCUGCUGGCAC
rnacentral:rRNA from 1 species